rnacentral:tRNA from 1 species
GCCGGAUUAGUUUAGUGGUAAAACAAUUCAAUGGUAAUGAAUAGCCGCGAGUCCGAUUCUCGCAUCUGGCACCA